rnacentral:misc_RNA from 1 species
UGUGGGAGCGAGCCUGCUCGCGAUAGCGGUCUGUCAGUUACAUCAGUGUUGGAUGUGCUGCUGCCAUCGCGAGCAGGCUCGCUCCCACA